GACGAACGCUGGCGGCGUGCCUAAUACAUGCAAGUCGAGCGGAACUUAGAAAGCUUGCUUUCUAAGUUUAGCGGCGGACGGGUGAGUAACACGUGGGCAACCUGCCUAUAAGACUGGGAUAACUUCGGGAAACCGGAGCUAAUACCGGAUAAUAUAAAAGAUCACAUGGUCUUUAUUGAAAGAUGGCUUCGGCUAUCACUUAUAGAUGGGCCCGCGGCGCAUUAGCUAGUUGGUGAGGUAAUGGCUCACCAAGGCGACGAUGCGUAGCCGACCUGAGAGGGUGAUCGGCCACACUGGGACUGAGACACGGCCCAGACUCCUACGGGAGGCAGCAGUAGGGAAUCUUCCGCAAUGGACGAAAGUCUGACGGAGCAACGCCGCGUGAGCGAUGAAGGCCUUCGGGUCGUAAAGCUCUGUUGUUAGGGAAGAACAAGUAUCGUUCGAAUAGGGCGGUACCUUGACGGUACCUAACCAGAAAGCCACGGCUAACUACGUG
rnacentral:rRNA from 1 species